GGGGAUGUAAUGGUUUUGACGCCGUGAUUGGUAGGUAUUAGUUGCAAGUCCGAGAGCUGUUCUCGGUUAUCAACGAGCAAAUAAAUUAAACGCUAAUAACGUUGUUUAUGCUGACUUUGGUGCUAAAAGAGCACUUGCUGCCUAAUUUGUAGCAAUCAGCCCUUUAGUUUGACCAUCUUGCCGUUGAACUAAAUGAAAUUAUGCAAGAUGCACUAAGCAAAUAACAGUAUGCUUAGCUAAGAAUUACUGUUAAAGUUUAGACUUACUUAAAAAGUCUAUACUCUAAAUAAGGUUAAGCAUCUUUCCAUGUUAGAGUGAAACAAUAAGGUACUAAACUUGUAGAUAUUAAUAUUUAUCCACGAUGGACGUGGGUUCGACUCCCACCAUCUCCA
rnacentral:tmRNA from 1 species